AAUUGCUUUGCCCCUGGAUUUGAGGACAAGAUGCAGGAAUUCAUGGAUGAAAUAAGAGGAAUGGAUCCAUCUGAUCCUUCCCUACCAGUGAAAGUGGCUGGUGAUCUCUCAAGAUCAAGAAUGAAACUAGCAGAUGACAAUGGAGCCAUCACUUACCAUAAGAACAUGAUCAGUUCACUAAAUGAACUGGCUGAGAGGCUUAAAGUUGAUCCUAUCAAAGUCCUUGACUCAUAGUAUAUAUUGCUUAUGUUAUUCUAUUUCUUGCUUCACAAUUGCUGUGUAUUUAUUAAUUUAUUUAUGGUUUAUAUGCUGAAAUUAUAUUUUUUGUAGAAUUUUAAA